CGCUCUGAUACCUGUGAUGUUUGUUCCAUUUGUUCUCAAUAUGUUGUGUACAUUUUAGGAUUGACUUGGUUAAAUGUGUUUGUGUUUCGCUGGUUUAAAGCAGCAAUAACCAUAAAACCACAGGAAUUCUGGUGCGCCAACAAAAAUGAGCGUUAACACGUUUUGUAAGUCCCAUCCCCAGCUUGUUCCUGCUCUCCCAGUCAGCGUUCUCCCUCACAAACCACCUCCAUCCAAUCCUGUGAACACUCACCAGCAUUCUAAUGACUUGCACCUGUUCCCCAUCACCAAAGGACACUCUAAAGACCCACCUUCUCCUCUCAGUCUUCGGCUGGUAUUGAAGUCAGAUGGUUGUCUUCAUCUUUGCUCCUUCGGCUUCUCCCCUUCUUCCAUGGAUGUUCCUUAUGAGUCUUUGAGUCCUUCAUAAUGAUCAAGGGAAGUGAUUAUUCUUAUCUGAUGUUUACUAGAAGAUCUUCUAUCGCUCUGAACUGUGUGCUUGUAUACUCAUCAAUGGAUGACAAUUGCAUGCUUACUGAUCCUUCUCACCGAUCUGGAGGAAUGCUUACACUUGUGUAGUGUUUACCAAAAGAUCAGCUAUCUACUAGAUGAACUGUCUGUAUACUCCCCUGCUGUGUCUCUUGAGAGUAAACUUCAAGUGCGAUCGAUAACACAUUGUUGACACUUCUAUUGCUGUGAAUGAAGAUCACAACAGCAUUUAUAUCAACCAUUUGAAUUCCCUAUGUGAUUAGUGACUUUGUUUUAAAUAAAACUUGAGAAACGAA